AUGUUUACCCAAGUGUUUUUGUACAAGUUCAAGGGCAUCUUGGGUUUUGUGAACAAAAUUUGUUUAUUUGGAACAAGGUUUUGUGUUGAAGCUUUGUAGGUGAAGCUUUGGUGUUGAAGCUUUCUAGGUGAAGCUUUGAUGGUGAAGCUUUGUAAAUGAAGCUUUGUAGAUGAAGCUUUCUAGGUGAAGCUUUGAUGGUGAAGCUUUGAUGGUGAAAGUAUGUAGAGGGAGCUUUCUAGGUGAAGCUUUUUUAGGUGAAGCUGUGUAGGUGAAGCUUUUUUAAGUGAAGCUUUUCGGGUGAAGUUUUUUUGGUGAAGCUUUGUGGGUGAAGCUUUUUAGGUGAAGCUUUGUGGGUGAAGCUUUUUAGGUGAAGCUUUGUGGGUGAAGCUUUUUUAGGUGAAGCUGUUUGGGUGAAGCUUUUUGGAGGUGAAGUUUUUUUUUUUUUUUUUUUUUUUGGGUGAAGCUUUUUUAGGUGAAGCUUUUUGGGUGAAGCUUUGAUGGUGAAGCUUUGUAGAUAAAGCUUUUUUAGGUGAAGCUGUUUGGGUGAAGCUUUUUGGAGGUGAAGUUUUUUUUUUGGGUGAAGCUUUUUUAGGUGAAGCUUUUUGGAUGAAACUUUUUGGAUGAAGCUUUUUGGGUG
rnacentral:lncRNA from 1 species